AGAGUCCACGCUUCAGCCCUGAGUAGUAGUCGACCAAGGGUUAACGAAAGAGACUCCAAAGCUGCACUGCCGUCCACCGUCCACGACUGCUGACCAAGACCGCCGUUCACGACUCCGAAGCUGCACUGCCGACCGUCGACCGCCGACCUGUCACCGCCAACAGCCCACUCGUAACUCCGGAAAUUUCAAAUUGUCCGGAGUCGUAAGUCGUAAGAGUAGGUCCUGUGCAUUCUUGUUCGUAGCAAAAGAGCAACUUAUUGUGUUUCCCAAGCAUCUAGAAAUGAGUAAUAUAGAUAGAAGUUUGAUGUAUCAAAGACGAACUGAACGUGGUGAUCUUAAUAAAUUUUAUCGAAGGAGUGGAAACAUUUAUUGAGUUCGCAAGCAGUAAGCCGGAUUUCAUGGAUGGAACUAAAAUUCGAUGUCCAUGUAAAAAAUGCCGUCAUAUCUCAUUUGAAGAAGAUGAGAUUGUGAGAUUUCACUUGUGCAAAUUUGGUUUUGUGCCAAAUUACUUUGAGUGGAAUAGACAUUGAGAAAUGUCACGCAAUAGAACGUCAAUGGGGUUUGAUGCAAAUUGGAGUUUAAAUGAGCAAAAUGAACCGUUGGAAUCAUAUCAGCAAAUGAUUUUUGAUGCUGCUGGUCAAAAUCUCAUAGCAAGGAAUGUGGGUGAGGAGCCAAAUGUAGAAGAUAAAAAAAUUCUUCGACAUGUUAGAUGCUGCUAAUAGACAAUUAUGGUCUGGUUGUGAAAAGUUGACACAAUUAUCUGCUGUGGCUCGAUUGCUAAACAUAAAGACAGAAUAUCAUCUACCAAAGCAAUGCUUUGAUGCAUUCUGUCAAUUAUUUAAGGAUGGUUUACCUAAAGACAAUAACAUGGUUGAUAGUUUUUACCAGACGAAGAAACUAAUACAAGGGCUUGGGCUACCAGUGGAGAAAAUUGAUUGUUGUAGGUUGGGGACUUGGGGUGCAUGCUGUAUUGGGGUGAUGGUAAAGAUAUGCUAAUUACAUAAGUAGAUUAAGGAAAAAUCCAAGACCUGUCUAUAUCCCACCAGAAAUAUGGACAAAGUGGAAUGAAAUUUGGAAUUCUGAAGAGGGCAAGAAGAAAACAGGAUUGGCUAAGAAAAACAGACGUGGAGGAGUUUUAAAUGGAGUUGCUCAAUCUACCCAUACCACAUGGUCAACACCUCACGUAAAAGUUGCAGCUCAACUUGAAGGACAAUUGAGUCAUUAUCCAUCAUAUUAUGAACUUUUCAAGCAUACACAUACCAAAUAACACGAUGGGGAAACAUUCAUAAUUGAAAAAGCCAAACAAAUUCAUGAACAAGUUGCAACGCAACGGGAGAUGUUGACAGGAACUGGGGAGCAAGUGGAUGAUAAUCAAUUAUAUUAUGAUGUGGUUGGUGGACAUGAAAAGAAAAGAAGGAUUUAUGGACUUGGUUCAUAUGGUUGUUCUGUUGUUAACGGUUCAACUAGUGCACUUCUGGCAAUAUGACUCCAACAUCUCGACCACCCGACAAUGCUACUUCUGCAAGUGUACAAGAUGAAAUUCAGAGUUUGAAGGCUACUAUUCUCCUUAUGCAACAACGACUUGAUGCUAUUGAUGGCGGAAGAGCGGGUACUUCAUCAUCACCUCCAUCUCAAACCGAUUAAUUUCAAUAUGGAUUGUUGUUUUUGAAGACUAUUACAUUAUUGCUUAGACUUGAAUUGACUAUUAUUAUGUAUUAAAUGUGAUUGGAUAAUGUAUUAUUACUUGAACUUAAUGUGAAUUGAUAAUAUUUUAGAC